GCUAUUCUGUGGGUCAGUCAGUAGAGCACUGUGCUUGCAAUACCAAGGUCAUGGGUUCAAACCCCAGGGAAAGCA